GAGCUGACGAGCGGCGGACGGGUGAGUAACGCGUAGGAAUCUACCCAGUAGCGGGGGAUAGCCCGGGGAAACUCGGAUUAAUACCGCAUACGCCCUAAGGGGGAAAGCAGGGGAUCUUCGGACCUUGCACUAUUGGAAGAGCUUGCGUUAGAUUAGCUAGUUGGUGGGGUAAAGGCUCACCAAGGCGACGAUCUAUAGCUGGUCUGAGAGGAUGAUCAGCCACACUGGAACUGAGACACGGUCCAGACUCC
rnacentral:rRNA from 1 species